rnacentral:ncRNA from 1 species
GACAGAAAAUUUACUGGCGGUUGGCAGGUGGCUGUAAAAAGCCGUAAUAGGGAAGCCGGCGCAAAUCCGGCACGGACCCGCCGCUGUAACCGGGGACGAAACCCGCAGAAAAACCACUGUUUUUUUUAAAACGGGAAGGUGCGGGAGUUGUAGGAUGAUCCGGAAGUCAGAAGACCUGCCGCCAACCGGCUUAAUCU